AUGUCCAUGGAGAAGAUGGCCAUUGGACUGUAGGGGAGCGAGAGGGCUGUCACCAAGAAGGAAGGCAUUGACUUUGCCAAGGAGUAUGGAUGUCUAUCUGGAAUGCAGCGCAAAGACCAAAGUGAAUGUUUAGUAGUGGUUUGAAGAGGUUGUACUGAAGGAAUCAAUGAUGCCGACCUCCUUGCAGAGUUGUGCCAGGUACCAAAUGAUGACCUACUCGCACAGUUGUGACAGAUCCUUCGGUGGAGGUGACCCAUGUGAUGGUGAUUCGCUCCAGUAGUUUCGGUCUGGCAGUGGUGGUGCUACACUGCUACUGCUCCUAUGAUGGCUACGCAUUGGUAGGCUCGGCUGCCUCCCUUUGCUGUCGCUGUGAUGGUGAAGCUCAGCCUAGGCUACAACCACUUCCGAUGAGCUCCUCAGAUCAGGAUCUAAUGUUGUUGGGGUGGCUGUUGUUGUGACCAUGAUCAGAAGAAGCCUGGAGAUGUGCACAAUAGUUUUAGUUGAUGUUGCCACCAUGUUUUGGUGCAUGUGUAUUUCUUUUUGAUUGUAUGCAAACUUGAUGGAUCAUGCAGACGUGUAUGUGCUGUUGUGAGUUUCAUUGAG
rnacentral:rRNA from 1 species